rnacentral:rRNA from 1 species
GACGAACGCUGGCGGCGUGCUUAACACAUGCAAGUCGAACGGAAAGACCCUGCUUUUGUGGGGUGCUCGAGUGGCGAACGGGUGAGUAACACGUGAGUAUCCUGCCCUUGUCUUUGGGAUAACUUCAGGAAACUGGGGCUAAUACCGGAUAGGAGCUCCUGUUCCAUGGUGGGCGUUGGAAAGUUUCGGCGGUUGGGGAUGGACUCGCGGCUUAUCAGCUUGUUGGUUGGGUAGUGGCUUACCAAGGCUUUGACGGGUAGCCGGCCUGAGAGGGUGACCGGCCACAAUGGGACUGAGAGACGGCGCAGACGCGUACGGGAGGCAGCAGGGGGAAAUAUGGCACAAUGGGCGGAAGCCUGAUGCAGCAACGCCGCGUGCGGGAUGACGGCCUUCGGGGUGUAAACCGCUUUCGCCUGUGACGAAGCGGGAGUGACGGUAAUGGGUAAAGAAGCACCGGCUAACUACGUG